AUAGCGUAUAUUAAAGUUGCUGCAGUUAAAAAGCUCGUAGUUGGAUUUCUGACUUGAAACAUUUUGCCGGCCACGGUUUCGUGUGUUAGUGCUUGAUGUUCUGGUCAUCCUUCCAAUCGCUAUUGACUAUUCUUCAUUGAUUGGUCAGUGGUAUUGGAUCUUUUACUUUGAAAAAAUUAGAGUGUUUCAAGCAGGCUUUAUGCUAUGAAUACAUUAGCAUGGAAUAAUAAUUUAGGACUUCGGUUCUAUUUUGUUGGUUUCUAGGACUGAAGUAAUGAUUGAUAGGGAUAGUUGGGGGUGCUAGUAUUCAGCGGCCAGAGGUGAAAUUCUCGGAUUCGCUGAAGACUAACUUAUG
rnacentral:rRNA from 1 species